UACGUAGGGGGCUAGCGUUGUCCGGAAUCAUUGGGCGUAAAGAGCGCGUAGGCGGCCAGAUAAGUCCGGUGUGAAAGUCAAAGGCUCAACCUUUGAAUGCCGCUGGAAACUGUCUGGCUAGAGUCCGGGAGGGGCGAGUGGGAAUUCCUGGUGUAGCGGUGAAAUGCGCAGAUAUCGGGAGGAACACCAAUGGCGAAGGCAGCUCGCUGGGACGGUACUGACGCUGAGACGCGAAAGCGUGGGGAGCAAACAGG
rnacentral:rRNA from 1 species